CACGCACGCCUGGGUCACCCUGUGACUCUUGAGCAGUAUGCUCAGCAGGAGAGGAAGGAGGGGGGAAACAUAACUAGGCUGACUCGCAUUCAUAAACCCUCAACUAAGAAAAGUUCAGUGAACUUAAGAGCACCCUCACGAAGACUCAGCACAGCAAGAAAAUAUAACACAUUAAUUCUGGUGCUGGAAAGUGAUGAAAUAUUUACUUUAUCCUUCACAGUCUCAAGUGUGAUGCCAUAGACCAGAUUGGAGGACAGGGGUCGAACCAGCUAGCCAAUAGAAACAUCAAACAUCUGACUCGAAUGUCUGGCUGGCCAAUGGGGACUUCCAUCAUUAUUGAUGUGAAAGCCUCGGUCCGGUCCAGAUGCUUCCGACUGAACCAAGCUCCGCUUUACGGGCUGCCCUUAUAACAUCCCACAGAUGAAGCAGGAAAUGCGCAUGCGUACAAUGCGAUCCACCUCUCAAACCCCAACCUUGACUCAGAGAACUGAACAAAAGGCAGCCAACAUCCAAG